GUCUCGCGUGCGCCAGUUCCCGAGGACUGGUGUUCCGGUUGCACGAGUCUCUGCCAUGGCAGCAGCGGAGGGGAAAGACCCGCUCAGCUUCUUCGCGGCGUACGGUAGCGACAACAGCUCGAGUGGCGGCUCGGAUGCCGAGGACGAGGAAGGCUCUGGCCGAGGGUCCAAGGGGUCUUCGCAGCAGUCCAAGAACGGCACCUCCGAGGGCAAACCGCGCUUGCCUGGGCCCGACGAGCUCUUCCGCAGCGUGAACCGACCGGCUUUCCUUUAUAAUCCGCUGCAUAAGGAGAUCGAUUGGGAGAGUCGGGUGCUGCGAGCCCCCGAAGAGCCUCCUAAGGAAUUCAAGGCAUGGACCACAAAUGCUGUGCCUCCCCCUGACACUUACACUAUCAAAGAAAAAAAGCCUCCACCUCCUCCUGAACGUGAUAUGGCAAUCAAAUGGUCAAAUAUCUAUGAAGAUAAUGGAGAUGAUGCUCCAAGGCAUGUAAACAAUGUACAUUUCUUACCAGAAGAAGAACAAGAAACUGUUGAAUCAGAUGGUGAAAAAGAUGAACCCAGCUCAGUUAAGAAACGCAAAUUAAAUCCUGACGAGCAGCCAAAGAAGAAAAAGCAAUGAUGAAUUGGACAAAGACUGAUGACUUUAUCAAUCAAAGUUGUCAAAGUUCUGAUUUGAUUGAUGUUUGAUGUAAAUGUCAAGUCUAUUAAUGCAAAUGUUUCUAGUGGAAACCUUUUAAUUGCAACGCAACUCUUUAAACAUGUUGUGUUUCCAAUGGAGUUCAGCCCAAUCAACUGAAUCAAGAAACAGCUAUACAAAUAAAUCUAUGAUUUUAGAGAAAAUAUUCUCAUGCUAUUAAGUGGACAAUAUUUAAGUUAAAUUUUCCCUAAACACAACUUGCCUUUUCCCUUGGCCUGCAAUCAUGGAUCAAAUCUUUGGUGUUUAUACAGAAUUUCUGCCUGUGAACCCAUUUGUUUUAUAUAGUGAUCCUUUUGUUUUAUCAGUGGUGGGUUCCUACCAGUUCGAAUUGGUUCGGCUGAAGCAGUAGUAGCUUGGUAGCCUGGUUUGCUGGAACCAGCAGCAACCCAGGCCUGCCACGCCCCUGAACCAGUUCUCCCGGCGGCGCCAUAGGUGCCACCAUCUUGUUUUUUGCUUCUGCACAUGCACAGAGCAAUUUUAGUUGUACUGCGCAUGUGUGCGCAAUGUGCAUCAAGCGCGUGCACAGGGCACGUCCCUGAGUAAACCGGCAGUAGUCUCUGCCGGAACCCACCACUGGGUUUUAUACUGCAGAUUGACUUACUGUUGUCCAAUAAUUAUCCCAAGAGUGUUUAGGCAAUUUUGAUAAAGUACUAAAAUAUAUCUCUAAAGAAAUAAAAGUGAUUGCCCCUUGUUUAUAGUUUAGGAACUUCAGGGCUACUUCCCAUAGUAUGAAUUAAUUCUGUGGAAUUAACUCACACAAUGUUGUACUCAAGGCUUUCUAUUGUUUCAGUUCAUAUUUAAGUUAUUUACUCUGCAGAAUGUCUCCAAGCUCUGGUUUUUAAGUUGCAGUUUUUCUUGUUAUAUUUCCAACUUUAUUUUUUACUAUGUCAGUCUUAAAAGCUUUGUUUUUCUGUUUAAACCAUGUUAAGGACAGAUUGAGCAAUUAACAAUAUUCAUGGGCAUUUCAAGUAAUUAGAAAAAAAUGUUAGACAUUUCUCUCCUUUAUAUACCCCCACAUAUAAAAUAAACUUUGCUCCCACUUCGGUGGUAUAUGAAAUAGAACGUCUUCCAUACUGCAUCCCAUUUUUGGGAUACAAUUCUAUAUGUAAUAGAAAUAAAAUUAUAUAUAGAAUGAGGAUUAAGAAGAUGCUUCAAUUGUUGAUUGACAAAAAAUAAUACAUGGAUACAUAGCAUUACCGGGGACUAAUCUUUCCAACCUUUGAUGUGUUUUUAUAUAUAUUGUACCUCUAUAUUUUGAAGUGAAUUGUUUUUAAACAGGUAGAAAUUAUCCAACUGAAUCUUCAUGUAAGAUGUUAUUUUGUUUGUUCAUUUAUUUAAUAAACUGCAUCAAUUUCAAUUAUUUUAGAAUCUAAAUGAUAUACAAGAACAGUGGCAACAUUCAGUUUCAGAGUUAAUGUGUGUGCUUUUUGAGAUAAUUUAAUAGAGUUUUUAUAGGGAUUUUUGGUAUUUUAAAGGAAUAAUGUAACUGCAAAAGAAUGGCCAAGAUCUGGGAGUAUGCCAUGAUGUCUAAAAUAAUACCAUAUUUCAAAAGUAACUGAAUAUAACUCAAGUUGGAAAUCUUGUUUAGAUUAUAACUCUAUACAUAAUUUGUAUCACAUCUGAAAUUUAGAUUCCUCUUAACAGAAAAGUUUUUAUAUGGGUCGGAGACAGAGGUUGUAUUCAGCGAGUUCUGACCUGUUCUGGAGAACCAGUAGUGGAAACUUUGAGUAGUUCGGAGAACCGGCAAAUAGGCUGGCUCCUCCCCCGCUGCCUUCCAGCCUCUCAGUUGAUCUUCUUUUGUUG